CGAUUUUGAAAGGAAAGGGCAAUGCAUUUGCAAAAACACACCGAGUAUUGCCAACACUCCCUGAAGGCCACAUAAUCAUUGAGACCUUCUUAUGGACGCGCGGAUGGCCUCCCGAUUCAUGGAGGGAGAUCUCCACAAACGUCGGAGAGGUGCACAAAGUUGUGGAGGAAAAUAUGGGACAAAUGUGCAUGCGCGGCACCCGUGAAUUCUUUAGCGAAAAUCCCUAAACCAAAACCCAUUCAUUCUCUAUGUUAGUGCUAAACCACUACGGAUGUAAUAUAUCUUUGGCCACCGGUGGCGCUGUUGUGCGGACCGAGCGUGUACCCGGAUGUAAAGCGUUUCUCCGGACAUUCUCCGUCAGUCUACCCGGGAAAGAGCACCGAAGCGACAGUCCACCUCUGUCGGACCUCGCGCUGUGAGGAAGUCACUAAACAGUAAGUCAGUGACAUAUAAUGUGUAAUAUUUAUAUAUAUAUAUUAUUCAGAUAAAUAUGCAGCGUUUGCUGCUGUACGUCAUUUAACACAGAUUCUAACUGUUCAUCAUAUACUGUUUAAACAUUAUAUACUGUAAACGUACUUCGAGAACAGCCAGCUAUAAAUGUCUUUAGCUGUAAAUACUAACAAUAUAGUAUAUGUUACUCUAUACCCUGUAUAUUUAUAAUGCUAAUAAUUUUGUAUAUUACAUUAUAUUCUGUAUACAUAUUAUGCACAUACUGAGAGAAUAGUAAACUAUAAACGUCGUUAUCCAUAAACACUGUACUUUAGUACAAGUGUCAUGUCUGUAAAUGCAUUUAUGUCAGUGUCACGCCACAUGUUAGUUUAUAGUUCACGUGUGUUUGACUGCAUCAAUUACUAGUUGCAUAUCACAGAUGUUACUCAACUAAUAAAUGAGGAUCUUGUAAUAGUUUAAACGACCAGAAUUGUUUAAAGUCAGUCAAAUGUAAACACAUUAAUGCCUCAAUGAUUAGGAUAUAUUAUUAUAUUAGGAAUAUAUGAUAUAUUUGGCAUCACGACUAGUUUAAUCUUUCAUUAAAGUUCAUUUGGAUGCUAAGUCCCUGAAGCCCAUGUACGAGGGACUGGCACAGCGCUACAGCGCUGCAGGCAUAGAAAAGGCACAAUCCCAGGGGGUAGACAGGUAAAUUAUAUCAAUAUUUUUGACCAUCAGUGGUGACACAACCGGCUCAUAAUCACAACUUAGAUUACUUUUCAUUUUUUUCAGUUUAAUUAAAGAAAAGCCUUUUGUAUUAAAUUUUAUUAAGGUUGCCGAUGUCACUUCUGGUAACCUCCCGAAACACAUGUGCUUCAAGAUCACAUUUUAAUGCAAACGUUAAUAUCAAGCUGGACUUGUUUCACUGCAUGAGGCGGUUCCUCCGUGAGUGUGUGUCUGAGCAUCACGCCCUGUACAGUUCCUUUGCUCAGUUCCUCUGGACUGGGACCACUAGUGUGCCAGUUUUUACGAUGUGUUGCAAUUGUUCACCCACCUCCACCUGUUCAGAUGCUGACUCAAGCCUCUGUUGAGAAGAUUGCACUCGACAUCAUGGAAAAGCAGCAGGAACAACAACAACCACCGAGGCAAAAGAAGGGACACACGAAAAGGUGUCUUUCCUGUGGCCAGCCAAAGUCUAGGUAUGAAAAUGAUGGUUCUUCAAUCCACUUCUUCUACCAGCAGGGCCCGGUCCGAUACUUCUACUGCUCCGCUAAAGUUUUUAAAACUUAUGGUGCUGAAGGUCUGACAAACCCCAAAAUGCCUUUUGUAGACUUUACUGAGACAGUUCUCUCAGCUAGAACUGGAUGCCACACAGAAAAGGGUGGCAGAGAAAGGACCGCAGAAGAGGAAAAGAACUGAUUGCCAGUCCGCAGGUCGCAAGUGUCUGUUCUGUAAGAUGGAACUGAAGCAGGGCCCAAACAGUCGUCACAUUCACACUGGGUUCCCUGGAGUAACAGGGAAGUACAUUUUCUGCCCGGUUAAAAUCUUUUCACUAUACAAAGACCAUGGACAUGGAAAUGACGUGGAGAGAGUUCCAGGGGUCUGCUUUCUUUGAGAAAGAAAAACAGAGAUGGGAGGCUGAAAGGAGGAAUGAAGAGAAAUAAUAAGGGGAGUUCCAUCCAGAAUUUUAAGUCCAAUUAUUUGUAAUAUACAUGUUGUAAUUAGUUUAUAUAUUGUUUUCUUGCAUUUGUGACUUUGUACAUUAAAUAUUAUCUUUUUAUUUAUUCUUUAUAUUUGGUUUUAUGGUUUGAUAGUCAUUAGUUGAAUUAUUUGGAUGUCUUUAUUUCGGUAACAUUUUUGUUUGUAUAGGACUAUACACGUUAAUAAAUAUAUUUCAAUUA
ensembl:lncRNA